UUAUUAUUAUUAUUUAAAAAAAAAUUGUUGUUGUAAAUACAUUUUAUUGCAUUUAUUUAUUGGUAGGGGGUGUGGUGCAUGUGCACGUGCUAACGAAUGGAUGAUCAUCAGGCAAAGCAGCUGCCCCUACAGCGCGAGUAAGAGAAAAUCAAUCUGGCAUCUGACGGACGAUGGGAUGAAUGUGGAGGUGAAGUUUUGAGAUCUGCUUGAAAAGAAGUUUUCCUGGCAUCUCUCUGACUCAAGUGAAUACAGUGAGAGGAGUUUGAAAAGAUGGACUGUGACCAUGAGGAUGAACGCAGUGGCCAGUCACCAACUGGAUCGGAAUCCAACUUUCGUGAAGAUAAGCUGCAAGAUAGUUCAGUUCUUAGUACAUCAGCUUUUCAGCACACUGCAUCAUCUCUUGUAAAAGACUUGGAAUCUACUAGAACAUGUCUAAAGGAUAGUGAAUUAUCACCAACUGAUGAACUUUCUGGGAAGGAAAACUUGUGUCUUAUUUCCCCUCUUAGCAAAUCGAAACCACUAGCAUUUGAUGUGCAUAUCAAAGAAGUCCCAACAGAUUUGAAAAAUCCAUUUCAGAAUGUUCUAAACCCACCUGGCAGUGACAUCAGCAACGCUUUUCCUGUCUGCGUUCAACUACCCACAAACCAUCUUAAAAAGUCACAUAUCACUGCUUAUAAACCAACACACCAUCAUCGCAAAAUCAGCCGGUCCUCCACCUCCACACUGAGUCGUAUGAGCCUGAAAGCCCCUGUUGAAGGUAAGCAACACCUCAAAUUACAUUUGACUCAAUGAAAUGAGGGAUUCAAUUUUUAUGACAUCUAAUGCAUUAUAGAUGCUGAAAUCCUCGCUAGCACGACUGACGAGCUUUCCCUCUUCCUGUCAUCUUUUAUUGUAUGAUGAUAAAUUGAUGAGGAUGCACACCAAACUUUGUGUGGUGCUGAUUAGUAGUAUAAAGGCUCUUAAACUUACAAAACAGGACAGCAGUUUUAUGAUGAGCUACACUGUCAGCAAAGCUGCUUUAUUUGUGGUUACCACAUCAAUAUUUUGUCAGUGAUUCAGCCAUUAAUGGAAUAUUCUAUGUUCAAUACAAGGUAAGCUCAGCCGGCACUUGUGUCAUAAUAGUGUUGAUUGCCACAAAAAUUAAUUUAGACUUUUCUUUAAAAAGUGAGACACAAAGUAAGCGAAUGAGGCC
ensembl:lncRNA